GCCCCCAUGGUAUAGCUUGGAUAGCAUGCGGCCUUGCGGAGGCUGAGACCAGGGUUCAAAUCCCUGCGGGGGCA
rnacentral:tRNA from 1 species